ensembl:piRNA 21ur-873 ncRNA
UAUGGCUGAUUUUGUAGUAAC